rnacentral:lncRNA from 1 species
GUGACACUCGGCCUUGGUGAUCAAGCCAAGUUAAACCGAGCCCACCACUUUCCGGACCACGACCGGCUUAGUGGUACCAUUUGAGGAAGCAAUGACCUGCAAACUACUACUAGAACCACCACGAGGUUCUCAUACAACAGUACCAACACGAGGUACACACUAUAACAACAUAUAAUAAUCACACAAUCACAAUAAUCCGGGUGCUUAGACUAGUCUUGCUAUCCACUUAGCCCAGACAUCGUCUCAAGCCUCGGAUCCACAAACUGACACCUAGACCGGUCCGACAAUCCUAGCUCAGAAGCCGUCUCCGAUGUCAGGAAUCUGCAUUAAAAACACGUUAACAAACAAUUAACCGUGACUCACAGUGAUUAAGCGAUGUGGCUUGACUUUCUGAUUCCGGAAGCUGACCAAACCCUUUUUAUCCCCUCCAAUCUUCGUCUUGAUUCCGUACCGUUAAUCCCGCAAUUCUGUACCGUUAAUCCUGCAAUCUUGUAACAUGUCUUGGUCCUCCGAGCAAUUCUCUAAUUUAUUUAUUUUCUUUUAUUUCCUUUCUUUUUCUUUUAUUUCUUUUCCCUUUAUUUCUUUUCUUCUCUUUCUCUCUCUUCUCCUCUCUUUUGGUCGUUGAUGUUGUGAGAAAAUGGCAAAGGUCCACCUUCCUUUUAUAGUAAAACCAGAUGAAUAGAUUUGUGACAGCUGCCCCACCUUCUCUCUUUGAUGACCACGUCACCUUGACCUUGUCAUUCUCUUCUUUUUCCACGUAGUGUCUCCCCC